rnacentral:RNase_P_RNA from 1 species
AGCGGGCCAGGCGAUCGCGCAUGCAGCAUGUCUGCAUGUGAGGAAAGUCCGGGCUCCACAGGGCAGAAUGCUGGCUAACGGCCAGGCGGGGCGACCCGACGGAAAGUGCCGCAGAAAAGAAGACUCCCACCUACGUCUUGGCGUAAAGGGAAAAGCUGAAACGGUGGUGUAAGAGACCACCAGCGUCGUAGCAAUAUGGCGGCUUGGCAAACCCCAUUCGGAGCAAGCGCAAAUAGGAGUGCUAUGGGCCGGCCCGGCUUGCACUCGGGUAGCGCGCGUGGAAUCGCAUGGUGACAUGCGGGCAAGAUAAAUGAUCGCCCACGACAGAACCCGGCUUAUCGGUCCGCUUC